rnacentral:rRNA from 1 species
UGCAAGUGGUAGGAGAGCGUUCUGUAAGCCUGUGAAGGUGAGUUGAGAAGCUUGCUGGAGGUAUCAGAAGUGCGAAUGCUGACAUGAGUAACGACAAUGCGAGUGAAAAACUCGCACGCCGAAAGACCAAGGUUUCCUGCGCAACGUUAAUCGACGCAGGGUUAGUCGGUCCCUAAGGCGAGGCUGAAAAGCGUAGUCGAUGGAAAACAGGUUAAUAUUCCUGUACUUCUGGUUAUUGCGAUGGAGGGACGGAGAAGGCUAGGCCAGCUUGGCGUUGGUUGUCCAAGUUUAAGGUGUUAGG